CCUUCGGGUGGCUGCAGUGGGGAAUAUUGGGCAAUGGGCGCGAGCCUGACGCAGCCACGUAGCGUGAAGGAUGAAUGCCCUCCGGGUUGUAAACUUCUUUUAUAAAGGAAUACAGUGAGUCACGUGUGCCUUUUUGUAUGUACUUUAUGAGUAAAGAUCGGCUAACUCCGUGCCAGCCGCCGCGGUACUACGGAGGAUCCGAGCGUUAUCCGGAUUUAUUGGGUUUAACGGGAGCGUAGAUGGGUUGUUAAGUCAGUUGUGAAAGUUUGCGGCUCAACCGUAAAAUUGCAAUUGAUACUGGCAGUCUGGAGUGCAGUUGAGGAAGGUGGAAUUCGUGGUGUAGCAGUGAAAUGCGUAGAUAUCACGAAGAACUCCGAUGGCGAAGGCAGCUUACUAAACUGCCACUGACACUGAUGCGCGAAAGUGUGGGUAUCAAACAGGAUUAGAUACCCGAGUAGUC
rnacentral:rRNA from 1 species